AUGUCGAUUGGUGCUAAAUCAAGAACAAAGUCGAUGUGGCAUCCAAUUAUAGACAAAGUGAGAUCCAGAGUGUCGAGGUGGAAUAACAAGCAAAUAUCAAUUGGUGGUCGAGUUGUUGUUAUAAAAUCGGUCUUGUCAGCACUUUCAAUCUACUUUUACUCUUUAUUUAAGGUUUUGUCAGGAAGUCAUCAUCUUGGAAGUGGUUGA